UUCCAGAAUUCCCCACUGUUGAUUAUUCCAACGCAAACUCCCUGCUUAGACCCAUCAAUGUUUCCCUAGCACUCUGAGAGCAUAAAGUUCUAGUCCCUUGAUCCUGCUUUGCCUCUCUCUAAUUCAUUGCUCAUUCUCUGCUGUAGCAUUUUCAUCACACUUGCCCAUGGGUUUCACACAGACGUUCCUUUGCUCACACUAUGCUUAGGCCUGUCCUGAGCGUCAUAACCCCUCACCCAGUUCUUUCUUCAGGAAGCCCUCAUGAACACACAC
rnacentral:lncRNA from 1 species